rnacentral:rRNA from 1 species
AUUGAACGCUGGCGGCAUGCCUUACACAUGCAAGUCGAACGGCAGCGGGCCUUCGGGUGCCGGCGAGUGGCGAACGGUGAGUAAUGCAUCGGAACGUGCCAUUGAGUGGGGGAUAACGUAGCGAAAGUUACGCUAAUACCGCAUAUUCUGUGAGCAGGAAAGCAGGGGACCGCAAGGCCUUGCGCUCUUUGAGCGGCCGAUGUCAGAUUAGCUAGUUGGUGAGGUAAAGGCUUACCAAGGCGACGAUCUGUAGCGGGUCUGAGAGGAUGAUCCGCCACACUGGAACUGAGACACGGUCCAGACUCCUACGGAGGCAGCAGUGGGGAAUUUUGGACAAUGGGCGCAAGCCUGAUCCAGCCAUGCCGCGUGAGUGAAGAAGG